UGCUUAAUAGGACAAUUUGUGUUCAGCAAAAUGAGAUUGAGCGAUAACAGGUCCGUGAUGCCCUUAGAUGUUCUGGGCUGCACGCGCGCUAC
rnacentral:ncRNA from 1 species